rnacentral:rRNA from 1 species
GCCCUUCGGUUGAUCCUGCCGGACCCGACUGCUAUUUGGGUGAGAAUAAGCCAUGCGAGUUGAAUGGGAUACCUAAAGUUCCCAUAGCAAACUGCUCAGUAACACAUGAUCAACUUACCCUAUAGAGAAAAAUAACCUCGGGAAACUGAGGAUAAUGUUUCAUAAUUGAAUUGGCUUGGAAAAGUUUUUCAAUGAAAAGGAUAAAAAAAAUGGUUUUUAUCUGCUAUAGGAUAGGAUCGUGUUCGAUUAUGGUUGUUGGUGAGAUAAUGGCUCACCAAGCCGAUAAUCGAUAGGGGCCGUGAGAGCGGAAGCCCCGAGAUGGGUACUGAGACAACGACCCAGGCCUUACGAGGCGCAGCAGGCGCGGAACCUCCGCAAUACACGAAAGUGUGACGGGGUUACCCAAAGUGUUCAAUAGAACUGUGGUAGGUGAGUAAUGUCCCCUACUAGAAAGGAGAGGGCAAGGCUGGUGCCAGCCGCCGCGGUAAAACCAGCUCUUCAAGUGGUCGGGAUAAUUAUUGGGCUUAAAGUGUCCGUAGCCGGUUUAGUAAGUUCCUGGUAAAAUCGGGUAGCUUAACUAUCUGCAUGCUAGGAAUACUGCUAUACUAGAGGGCGGGAGAGGUCUGAGGUACUACAGGGGGUAGGGGGUGAAAUCUUAUAAUCCUUGUAGGACCACCAGUGGCGAAAGCGUCAGACUGGAACGCGCCUGACGGUGAGGGACGAAAGCCAGAGGAGCGAACCGGAUUAGAUACCCGGGUAGUCCUGGCCGUAAACGAUGCAUACUAGGUGAUGGUACGGCCAUGAGCCGUAUCAGUGCCGUAGGGAAACCGUUAAGUGUGCCGCCUGGGAAGUACGGUCGCAAGGCUAAAACUUAAAGGAAUUGGCGGGGGAGCACAAGGGC